GAUGAACGCUGGCGGCGUGCCUAAUACAUGCAAGUCGAGCGAACGGACGAGAAGCUUGCUCUUCUGAUGUUAGCGGCGGACGGGUGAGUAACACGUGGAUAACCUACCUCUAAGACUGGGAUAACUUCGGGAAACCGGAGCUAAUACCGGAUAAUAUGUUGAACCGCAUGGUUCAAUAGUGAAAGACGGUUUUGCUGUCACUUAUAGAUGGAUCCGCGCUGCAUUAGCUAGUUGGUAAGGUAACGGCUUACCAAGGCAACGAUGCAUAGCCGACCUGAGAGGGUGAUCGGCCACACUGGAACUGAGACACGGUCCAGACUCCUACGGGAGGCAGCAGUAGGGAAUCUUCCGCAAUGGGCGAAAGCCUGACGGAGCAACGCCGCGUGAGUGAUGAAGGUCUUCGGAUCGUAAAACUCUGUUAUUAGGGAAGAACAUAUGUGGAAGUAACUGUGCACGUCUUGACGGUACCUAAUCAGAAAGCCACGGCUAACUACGUG
rnacentral:rRNA from 1 species